UGUAAGGACAGAUAGCAGGGCCUGCCCUCUGGCCAGCAAUUUCUCUUCUUCUUUUUCCAUGUGGCUUGUCAGAGCACUACGUUCCUUAUGACAAACAAAAGGAAUCCACAGAAACUUGGUAAAAGAAGCAGAGAAGACACUACUCCAUAUGUGUAAAAUGUGGAGCCCCAUGACCUCCUCUGCCUCAUUGCCUGCUCUGCCUCUCAAAGAGCUUCAGCAAAACACAGAAGCACAGCAGUGGCACGUGGAUGGAUACCUUUAUAAAAGAGAACCACAAUCUUCUGAAAGGCUUUCAUGAAAUGGAUGUUGUCGUAGCAGUAUUCCUGAACCUUCUGGAGGAGGAUCAGCUCUGACUGGCCUUGGGAGCUGAACACGGCCAGCAGGGGAGCAUAUUGCUAGAACAGAAGUGGAGAGUAAAAGCCGUCACUUGCGUGGGAGAAAUGCCAGCAGUGACUUGAGCAGCCUUCAAAAGCAGAAGGAGCCGGGCAGUCCCAGUCCCUGUGCUGGCUGGAGGAAGCCACAUAAAAGUGUGACAUCCUGGCAUCUACAAGCAUCACAAGGCUUUUUAUGUUUGCUUCUUUUCCCCAUGGAAAAUAAUGUACAAAUUCUUGCUUGGAGAAAUAUGAUUAAAUAUACUGCUAUCCUUAA
ensembl:lncRNA novel transcript